UUAGUGGCGGACGGGUGAGUAUCGCGUGGAAAACCUGCCGUAUACUGGGGGAUAACACUUAGAAAUAGGUGCUAAUACCGCAUAAGCGCACAGCUUCGCAUGAAGCGGUGUGAAAAACUCUGGUGGUAUACGAUGGUUCCGCGUCUGAUUAGCUAGUUGGUGAGGUAACGGCUCACCAAGGCGACGAUACAUAGGGGGACUGAGAGGUCAACCCCCCACAUUGGUACUGAGACACGGACCAAACUCCUACGGGAGGCAGCAG
rnacentral:rRNA from 1 species